AACGAACGCUGGCGGCAUGCCUAACACAUGCAAGUCGAACGAGAUCUUCGGGUCUAGUGGCGCACGGGUGCGUAGCGCGUGGGAAUCUGCCCUUUGGUUCGGAAUAACAGUUGGAAACGACUGCUAAUACCGGAUGAUGACGAAAGUCCAAAGAUUUAUCGCCAGAGGAUGAGCCCGCGUAGGAUUAGCUAGUUGGUGUGGUAAAGGCGCACCAAGGCGACGAUCCUUAGCUGUUCUGAGAGGAUGAUCAGCCACACUGGGACUGAGACACGGCCCAGACUCCUACGGGAGGCAGCAGUGGGGAAUAUUGGACAAGGGGCGAAAGCCUGAUCCAGCAAUGCCGCGUGAGUGAUGAAGGCCUUAGGGUUGUAAAGCUCUUUUACCCGGGAUGAUAAUGACAGUACCGGGAGAAUAAGCUCCGGCUAACUCCGUGCCAGCCGCCGCCGUAA
rnacentral:rRNA from 1 species